rnacentral:lncRNA from 1 species
UUAGAAAACCCUAACGUCUGAUAAGAACCCCUAGAAAUCGGUUCUGGAAACCCUAGUUUCAGUUCCGGGCAUCCGAAACCCUAAUUCGGUGCAUGAAACCCUAAAUCGGGAACUUAAUGGCAUAAGUGUAAAUAACUAUAAGAUUAAUUAGGGUUAAUCUUAACAAAUUGAUUACAAAACCCUAAUUCCAAAUCUGAAACCCUAAUACUUG